rnacentral:rRNA from 1 species
ACUCCUACGGGAGGCAGCAGUGGGGAAUCUUGCACAAUGGGGGAAACCCUGAUGCAGCGACGCCGCGUGAGCGAUGAAGCCCUUCGGGGUGUAAAGCUCUUUCGACGGGAACGAUAAUGACGGUACCCGGAGAAGAAGCUGCGGCUAACUACGUGCCAGCAGCCGCGGUAAUACGUAGGCAGCAAGCGUUGUUCGGAGUUACUGGGCGUAAAGAGUGUGUAGGCGGUUCGCUUAGUCUGGUGUGAAAUCUCCCGGCUUAACUGGGAGGGUGCGCCGGAUACUGGCGGGCUAGAGUGCGGGAGAGGGAAGUGGAAUACCUGGUGUAGCGGUGAAAUGCGUAGAUAUCAGGAGGAACACCUGUGGUGUAGACGGCUUCCUGGACCGCCACUGACGCUGAGACACGAAAGCGUGGGGAGCAAACAGGAUUAGAUACCCUGGUAGUC